rnacentral:rRNA from 1 species
UUAUAAGAGACAGCAGCCGCCGCGGGAAUACAGAGGGUGCGAGCGUUAAUCGGAUUUACUGGGCGUAAAGCGUGCGUAGGCGGCUUCUUAAGUCGGAUGUGAAAUCCCUGAGCUUAACUUAGGAAUUGCAUUCGAUACUGGGAAGCUAGAGUAUGGGAGAGGAUGGUAGAAUUCCAGGUGUAGCGGUGAAAUGCGUAGAGAUCUGGAGGAAUACCGAUGGCGAAGGCAGCCAUCUGGCCUAAUACUGACGCUGAGGUACGAAAGCAUGGGGAGCAAACAGGAUUAGAUACCCCAGUAGUCCCUGUCUCUUAUAC